rnacentral:lncRNA from 1 species
UCCUUCCACAGAGCUUGUGGACAAGUGUAUAGGAUCAAGAAUUCACAUUGUGAUGAAGAGUGAUAAAGAAAUCGUGGGUACACUUCUAGGAUUUGAUGACUUUGUCAAUAUGGUGUUGGAAGAUGUCACAGAGUUUGAAAUUACACCAGAAGGAAGAAGAAUUACAAAAUUAGAUCAAAUUCUACUAAAUGGAAAUAAUAUAACAAUGCUGGUUCCUGGAGGAGAAGGGCCUGAAGUAUGAGUGGAUUUCCUUGACUUAUGCUGGAUUCUGGCUUUGUGUUUUUCAAACCUUUAAUGUUUAGAUUCUAUAAAAUGAAGUUUCCGUUAAAGGGAAACACUUUGAAGAUAUACAUCCAUUUUUCUAAGCUAAUCAUGGUUAUUUUGGGAAAAGAAGAGUUUUGUUUUGUCUUGUUUUUUUAAAGACUAAAAAAAUAAAGAUGGUUUUGGU